GGCCUCGUGGCCUAAUGGCUAGGGCGCUAGAUUUCGGUGGUCAAUCAUUGAAACCUCUAGAGAUUGUCGGUUCGAGUCCGGCCGAGGUCG